UAGUCAUAUGCUUGUCUCAAGGAUUAAGCCAUGCAUGUCUAAGCGUAAGUAAUUAAUUGCAAAGCUGCGAACGGCUCAUUAAACCAGUUAUAAUCUACCUGCCGGUGGUAAACUACAUGGAUAACUGUAGUAAUUCUAGAGCUAAUACAUGCAAAGCGCCUCGCAAGGGGUGGCAUUAUCAGGUACAAUUCUUCAUGCUAUCCUCUCGGGUAGCUUAAGGUGAAUCUGGGUAAUCUACAUGAUCGUGUUCCUUCGGGAGACGACACGGCAGUCGAGUUUCUGACCUAUCAAGUUGAUGGUGAUGUAUUGGCUCACCAUGCUAAUCACGGGUAACGGGGAAUUAGGGUUCGAUUCCGGAGAGGGAGCCUGAGAGAUGGCUACCACUUCCAAGGAAGGCAGCAGGCGCGCAAAUUACCCAAUGUUAAUACAAUGAGGUAGCGACGAGAAAUAACGAUGCCGAUCUUUAGGGGUUGGUAAUCGUCAUGAGCACAAAGUAAAUAUCUUAACGAGGAACAAUUG
rnacentral:rRNA from 1 species